rnacentral:rRNA from 1 species
UACGUAGGGGGCGAGCGUUGUCCGGAGUUACUGGGCGUAAAGAGUGCGUAGGCGGUUCUUUGUGUCCGCUGUGAAAGCCCCGGGCUUAACCUGGGAAUGGCAGUGGAAACUAGAGAACUUGAAUCUGGCAGAGGGGGGUAGAAUGGCCACGUGUAGCAGUGAAAUGCGUAGAUAUGUGGCGGAACACCGAUGGCGAAGGCAGCCCCCUGGGCUGAGAUUGACGCUCAGGCACGAAAGCGUGGGGAGCAAACAGG